UACGUAGGGUGCGAGCGUUGUCCGGAUUUAUUGGGCGUAAAGAGCUCGUAGGCGGUUUGUCGCGUCGGCCGUGAAAUCUCCACGCUUAACGUGGAGCGUGCGGUCGAUACGGGCAGACUUGAGUUCGGUAGGGGAGACUGGAAUUCCUGGUGUAGCGGUGAAAUGCGCAGAUAUCAGGAGGAACACCGGUGGCGAAGGCGGGUCUCUGGGCCGAAACUGACGCUGGAGGAGCGAAAAGCGUGGGGAGCAAACAGG
rnacentral:rRNA from 1 species